GGGCUUUGAAGGGACGCGGGGCCGCGCAGAGCAGGGGAGUCUGGGUAAUACAUUGUUAACAGUUAUUUAGCUCGUGCUAAUGGGCACGUGGAGCUCUGCCAGGGCUUUUAUGGCGGAAGUGGCAGAGAGCAGUGAAGGUGUGUGUGAGGGAGAAAGCUGUAAUUCAGAGUUUAUGGGCUUUCAGCAGAGAUUCCUGUCCACGUUACGGAUAACAGGGUCACAGCAUGGAGACCUCGAGGACUCCACACCUGGAACAACACCACCCAGAAUAUCCGCUGCACUGCGAGGACAUAGGAAAAAGAGGAGAGAGAGUGCGAGAGGCUUUAUGAAUGACAGAAGAGGAGGAGGAGGAGGAGAGUAAAAAAAAAAAGAAGAUGAAAGAAUGAGGGAAGGUCCACUGUGAUGGCCCCAGGACCGACUGACCCAGAGGAUGGAGAGAGACGAGAGGGAUGAAGUGAGGACGAAUCCAUACGUCCAGCACCGUUUGAUGCCUGCGGUGUUGCCUGUGUAACUAUAGCUCUUUUUCUUUCUCCCGCUCCCUCCUUUCCUCUCGUUUUUUUUAAAUACCCCUCUCUUUGCCCUCUUCCUGCUGAUCGGUGCCAACCACCAUGAAACCACCGCCACAUUAGAGCCUUUAACGGGCACUGCCUGGCAUCCUGCUCUGUCCAAACAUAUUAUAGUCACACACACACAUGCAGGAGUGUGUAUCUACAUAAAGUUUCUGAAUUCACAACUGUAGGGUUUCGUCGUAUGUAUAUUGAAGUCUUGGGGGACAUUUUUCAUCGCUACAAAACUGCCACAUGUCAUUGCGGCUCCAAAUAAACUCUGAAGAUGUUGACUGCUUCGAACAGAUUGCGGACUGGAGAAGGCGGCAAAUAAAUGGUUCACAUGUACCGACAGAAAAGUGAUAUUAAAGCUGAAGAAUUUACUAGGAAUAUGGUUUGGACUGAUGUUUAUAGAGUGGAAUAUUAUGAUUAUUACAUUCCUGCUCUGCUCCACGCCAGCGCAGCUUUAAGGAGAACAGCGCAGCAAGUAAGACUGAGCUUUGUGUCGGCUCUUUCCCCUCCAUCAUUAAUCAGAGCAACACUUUAUCAUUCGUAGAUUUUCAGAAAACUGAGACUUGUUGACUUGAUUCCACCCAAACCCCAGCUGAGACUCUGGCAAUCCUUCACUGACGUCCUCUAAUUACUUCACAUUUUGACUGUACUCGCUGUCGUUUAGUCUUUUAUCUUCCUCAUGAACUAACCAUCUGAACAGCAAACACCACCACAUGUCCCUGUGAGGCUCCCAUCAUGUGUUAAUGAGGCGCUGAGGAUGCAGCUGGACACGACUGACCACGCCUGCUGACAUCACGCCGCCAC